UACGAGGGGGGCAAGCGUUGUUCGGAAUUAUUGGGCGUAAAGGGCGCGUAGGCGGUGCGGUAAGUCACCUGUGAAAUCUCCUGGCUCAACUGGGAGCUUGCAGGCGAAACUGCCGUGCUGGAGUGUGGGAGAGGUGCGUGGAAUUCCUGGUGUAGCGGUGAAAUGCGUAGAUAUCAGGAGGAACACCUGUGGCGAAAAGCGGCGCACUGGACCACAACUGACGCUGAGGCGCGAAAGCUAGGGGAGCAAACAGG
rnacentral:rRNA from 1 species